rnacentral:SRP_RNA from 9 species
CAGGUCCGGAAAGAAGCAGCAGACAGCAAGG